UCACUAGGAAGCUAAAUCUGGGCCUCAGCGUUGGCCUUUUAAGCCAAAGAAUGGUGCCUCCCAACCACCCCUAGUGAA
rnacentral:tRNA from 1 species